rnacentral:rRNA from 1 species
CCUACGGGAGGCUGCAGUGAGGAAUAUUGGUCAAUGGGCGCGAGCCUGAACCAGCCAAGUCGCGUGAGGGAGGACGGCCCUACGGGUUGUAAACCUCUUUUGCCGGGGAGCAACGGGCGUCACGUGUGGCGCCACUGAGAGUACCCGGAGAAAAAGCAUCGGCUAACUCCGUGCCAGCAGCCGCGGUAAUACGGAGGAUGCAGGGUUUAUCCGGAUUUAUUGGGUUUAAGGGGGGCGUAGGCGGAUCUUUAAGCAGGUGGGAAAAUUGGGGGGCUCAACGUCUUACCGCCAUUGAAACUGGCGUUCUUGAGUAGAAGAGAGGUGUGCGGAAUGCGUGGUGUAGCGGUGAAAUGCAUAGAUAUCACGCAGAACCCCGAUUGCGAAGGCAGCAUGCCGGCUUCCGACUGACGCUGAAGCACGAAAGCGUGGGGAUCGAACAGGAUUAGAUACCCGAGUAGAC